UACGUAGGGGGCGAGCGUUGUCCGGAUUUAUUGGGCGUAAAGAGCUCGUAGGCGGUUGGGUAAGUCGGGUGUGAAAACUCAGGGCUCAACUCUGAGACGCCACUCGAUACUGCCCUGACUCGAGUCCGGUAGGGGAGCGUGGAAUUCCCGGUGUAGCGGUGAAAUGCGCAGAUAUCGGGAGGAACACCAGUGGCGAAGGCGGCGCUCUGGGCCGAUACUGACGCUGAGGAGCGAAAGCGUGGGGAGCGAACAGG
rnacentral:rRNA from 1 species